GACGAAGGGGGCUAGCGUUGUUCGGAAUUACUGGGCGUAAAGCGCGUGUAGGCUGUUUUGCAAGUCGGAUGUGAAAGCCCUGGGCUCAACCUAGGAAGUGCACUCGAAACUGCAGAACUGGAGUCCUGGAGAGGAAGGCGGAAUUCUCGGUGUAGAGGUGAAAUUCGUAGAUAUCGAGAGGAACACCGGUGGCGAAGGCGGCCUUCUGGACAGUGACUGACGCUGAGACGCGAAAGCGUGGGGAGCAAACAGG
rnacentral:rRNA from 1 species